rnacentral:rRNA from 1 species
GAUGAACGCUGGCGGCGUGCCUAAUACAUGCAAGUCGAGCGAACAGACGAGGAGCUUGCUCCUCUGACGUUAGCGGCGGACGGGUGAGUAACACGUGGAUAACCUACCUAUAAGACUGGGAUAACUUCGGGAAACCGGAGCUAAUACCGGAUAAUAUAUUGAACCGCAUGGUUCAAUAGUGAAAGACGGUUUUGCUGUCACUUAUAGAUGGAUCCGCGCCGCAUUAGCUAGUUGUUAAGGUAACGGCUUACCAAGGCAACGAUGCGUAGCCGACCUGAGAGGGUGAUCGGCCAACUCGGAACUGAGAACCGGUCCAGACUCCUACGGGAGGCAGCAGUAGGGAAUCUUCCGCAAUGGGCGAAAGCCUGACGGAGCAACGCCGCGUGAGUGAUGAAGGUCUUCGGAUCGUAAAACUCUGUUAUUAGGGAAGAACAAAUGUGUAAGUAACUAUGCACGUCUUGACGGUACCUAAUCAGAAAGCCACGGCUAACUACGUG